rnacentral:rRNA from 1 species
ACUGUGUGUUGUUGGGUAGGGGAGCGUUCUGUAAGCCUGUGAAGGUGUGUCGUGAGGCAUGCUGGAGGUAUCAGAAGUGCGAAUGCUGACAUAAGUAACGAUAAAGCGGGUGAAAAGCCCGCUCGCCGGAAGACCAAGGGUUCCUGUCCAACGUUAAUCGGGGCAGGGUGAGUCGACCCCUAAGGCGAGGCCGAAAGGCGUAGUCGAUGGGAAACGGGUUAAUAUUCCCGUACUUGGUGUUACUGCGAAGGGGGGACGGAGAAGGCUAUGUUGGCCGGGCGACGGUUGUCCCGGUUUAAGCGUGUAGGUGUGUGUUCCAGGUAAAUCCGGUUCACUUUAACACUGAGGCGUGACGACGAGGCACUACGGUGCUGAAGCAACAAAUGCCCUGCUUCCAGGAAAAGCCUCUAAGCAUCAGGUAACAUCAAAUCGUACCCCAAACCGACACAGGUGGUCAGGUAGAGAAUACCAAGGCGCUUGAGAGAACUCGGGUGAAGGAACUAGGCAAAAUGGUGCCGUAACUUCGGGAGAAGGCACGCUGACACGUAGGUGAAGUGAUUUACUCAUGGAGCUGAAGUCAGUCGAAGAUACCAGCUGGCUGCAACUGUUUAUUAAAAACACAGCACUGUGCAAACACGAAAGUGGACGUAUACGGUGUGACGCCUGCCCGGUGCCGGAAGGUUAAUUGAUGGGGUCAGCGCAAGCGAAGCUCCUGAUCGAAGCCCCGGUAAACGGCGGCCGUAACUAUAACGGUCCUAAGGUAGCGAAAUUCCUUGUCGGGUAAGUUCCGACCUGCACGAAUGGCGUAAUGAUGGCCAGGCUGUCUCCACCCGAGACUCAGUGAAAUUGAACUCGCUGUGAAGAUGCAGUGUACCCGCGGCAAGACGGAAAGACCCCGUGAACCUUUACUAUAGCUUGACACUGAACAUUGAGCCUUGAUGUGUAGGAUAGGUGGGAGGCUUUGAAGCGUGGACGCCAGUCUGCGUGGAGCCGACCUUGAAAUACCACCCUUUAAUGUUUGAUGUUCUAACGUGGACCCGUGAUCCGGGUUGCGGACAGUGUCUGGUGGGUAGUUUGACUGGGGCGGUCUCCUCCUAAAGAGUAACGGAGGAGCACGAAGGUUGGCUAAUCCUGGUCGGACAUCAGGAGGUUAGUGCAAUGGCAUAAGCCAGCUUGACUGCGAGCGUGACGGCGCGAGCAGGUGCGAAAGCAGGUCAUAGUGAUCCGGUGGUUCUGAAUGGAAGGGCCAUCGCUCAACGGAUAAAAGGUACUCCGGGGAUAACAGGCUGAUACCGCCCAAGAGUUCAUAUCGACGGCGGUGUUUGGCACCUCGAUGUCGGCUCAUCACAUCCUGGGGCUGAAGUAGGUCCCAAGGGUAUGGCUGUUCGCCAUUUAAAGUGGUACGCGAGCUGGGUUUAGAACGUCGUGAGACAGUUCGGUCCCUAUCUGCCGUGGGCGCUGGAGAACUGAGGGGGGCUGCUCCUAGUACGAGAGGACCGGAGUGGACGCAUCACUGGUGUUCGGGUUGUCAUGCCAAUGGCACUGCCCGGUAGCUAAAUGCGGAAGAGAUAAGUGCUGAAAGCAUCUAAGCACGAAACUUGCCCCGAGAUGAGUUCUCCCUGAGACUUUAGGUCUCCUGAAGGAACGUUGAAGACGACGACGUUGAUAGGCCGGGUGUGUAAGCGCAGCGAUGCGUUGAGCUAACCGGUACUAAUGAACCGUGAGGCUUAACCUUACAAC